AACGUUUCACUGUGUUUUGGUUGACUGGAUAUUCAGACGUGCAUACACCAGCAAGAGAACACGGCUGACACAAAGCAGCAGAGCGCAGCAGAGGCGGCAGUGCAUCCUGGGACAUGUAGCAAGUGCUUGCAUGGCUCCAUGAUCCAGAUGAAUUUUUUUUUUUACGUAUAGUUGUACUGCAAAAGGAAACAUACAUUUGAAGCUUUGACAUAUCGUAAAAAAUGUGCAUGUUAGUCCAUGCUUCCAUAUUUGGUCUAAUGGAAGUAGUGUCAAGCCUAUAAGCAUGAUUUGUGCUCUCUGUUGAAGUUAUAAUUGCUGCCCAGUACUUUCCUUCCCUCCACUUCCUUCUGCUCCUCCGGGGCCGAUUCAUAGCGACAGCAUGCUAAGCAGGUUAGCCGGUUAGGCUUCUCCCAAGGAACCUUUUCCAUUUCCUCCUGGGGGAUCCUGAGGUGUUCCCAGGUCAGGUGUUAUGAGCCCUUUUCAGAUAACCGUUUCAAGGGGCGAUAUUUCGUCCCUGUAACGUUCUGCUGUCAAUCUUAAUUUCUUAGUGGUGUAAUGGGGGGAGGACAAAGUCAUCCUCCCCUCCAUUUAGUCUUCGGAGGUAGUACAGGGGUGAGAUGAGAUCAGUGGAGCCAGCGGGGCGGCACAACGCUGUGUGUGUCUGACUGUGUGUGUGUGUAAAUUCGACUAAGUAUGAUUUCAGUCAGACUAACGUGUUUACAUGUAUUUUAAAAGUCUCAGUUUCAGUCGGACAAACACAAUACUUCAGCUUUUGCCAACAUCAUGUAAACGUGCUGACUGUGAAGGAGUAGCGGCUCUAGUCUGACCUCCCUCAGGACGUCUGAGCUCCUCACCCAAUCUCUAAUGGUGCUUUCACAAACACAAAGAAAAUCAGUCCAUCAAUCAUUAUUUGUAUAGCGCCGAUUGUGUUAUCUCAAGACGCUUUACAAAAAGAGCAUAUUGGAUAAGAUGCAGGAAGGAUUUCUUCUUUGUAUUCCUCCUCUGUUGUUACUGUUGCCACCGAGCUGGAGGUCGGAGCGGGCGGUCGAAAUCAAGAGAUCUUCCUGCAGUUUUUGGGAUAAGAUGCAUGUGUGAACGCAAACAGCCACAUUUUGAAGUCUGACUUUUCUUGGAAUUAUUCCUGCCAACCCCACUACCCUGGGAGGGGGUGAUAACGAUAAUAUCCUGUAACCGGCGCAUGACCAUAUGCACGUAUUGAAACUGCUUCAUUAGUUUUCUUUUCACCAGUUUGUUCUUCUCCGCUCUUUUGUCGAUGCAGUGAUGAUGUUGAACUACAUGUGACACUGAUAUACUUUGAUUUAAAGGCAAAAACUGGCGUUAUAGCGUCAGACUCAUGUUGCAUGGUUAAGCGACUGAGACUGUUCCCGUCGAUAGGGAAAGUCUCCCGCUGCAAGGUGCAUGUGUGAACAAUAUAAAAAUCAAGCUACUCAGGAGGAUUUCAGGGGCAGCCUUGUCUGAAAAUUUUCAUGAAAUGUUCAGGAAGGCAUACAGCAUGUGAGAAAACAGAUUUAGUCCUAUAGCCCGGCCAAACAGUGAAGGAAACUCCUUUUGUCCAUUUGUAUUCACAGUCUCAUUUCAUCAGUUACUCCAUACUUGAACAAUAAGCAAAUAUUCCAGCGUGUGCAUGUGCUGACUCAUGCCGAGUCUUCAGGUAAAGAGUUACUAAUUUGACUUUCUUUUAAUGACGUGUCGUGUUCCCAGGUCUCAGCUAUAAACUCGGUGAUUCCAGUUUAAUUGGAAUCCAAAGAAUGAAGGCCAAACCUGUGAAAAUAAAAAACCGGAGACUCUCUGUUUGUUUUUCCUCCUUGCUCGCUGUGAAAGCAGGACGCCUCCUGUUGAUCGUCUCCUCUCAGAUUGCUCUCAGUAUUUAUGAGGAGGGUCUCUCCGCCCCCGCCCCCGCACACACACACACACACACACACACACACACACCUCUCUGCGAUCAAACAGAUUGUGCAGAUUCAGUGAGCUGAUCAGUGCUUCUGCAUGGGUAAGAAUCUGAAUCAGCCCCCUCCCUCUGCAGAGGCGACCCCCCCCCCCCCCUGUGUGAAACUACAGUCCUACUCUGGUUUUCUCCGUCUGUGCUGUCUGUUCUGUGUGACACUGUGUGUUUAAAUGUAUACCAAGCAAUAGAGAGGUCUGACAGGACAAUCAUGGCUGUGCAGACCAACAAAUGAAACAACAUUUCAAAGCCUGUGUUGCAAAUAUAAGGCAAGAAAAGCA